rnacentral:tRNA from 1 species
UCCCUGGUGGCCUAGUGGUUAAGGAUCUAGCCUUGUCACUGCUAUGGCACAGGUUUGAUUCCUGACCCAGGAA